rnacentral:lncRNA from 1 species
UUUUCCUGUUCCUAACUGGCUGCAUGUCACUCUAUCUGAAUUGGCCACCUAAAUCCUCUUUGCCAAUCCUAGAUCUACCUUAGGACCUUAGAGAAUCCCGACAUGCUGCUGAGUACAUUUUAGGAGUCCUGUCAUAGAUGCUUAAAGGGUCCCCGCCUGGCCCCAAACGAAGCUAAAACACAGCCAUUAGAGAAAAUGCACUGUCAUUCAUGGCCUUACUCAGCAUGGCUUUCUGGGGAAGACUACUGAGCAGGCUGAGAGUCCCGUGGGGCCUGGACACAGCUCUUCUAGCCCCGAGCCUGUGAGCCAUAUGGGCUCAUGACAACCAGCUCCUUGGGGGCAAUGGCCAGUCAUUAGAUAGCUGUUUCCUUAUCUUAUGAUAAAGGUGCCUCCGCGCCCACAAAGACCUGUUCAGUAGUGAAGAGAGGGCUCUGAAAUGUCUCCUCUAUUGGAUCUCAUACAAGCAACUGUGGACCAAAUAGGGCACUAUUUUCCAGAUGCAACUAUGCGGGGCUCUGAAUCUUAGCCCACAGGACACUUGACACCUGCAAAGAUGAGGGCCAGACACUGCAUGUCAAGUCCCACUGGCUCCGGUCCUCCAAGCCUUGGGAGCGGGAAGUUGGGGUCACCCAUCUGUCGUGUGU